CUUUCCCUCUCUCGGGAUGCUUUACACAUGCAAGUCGAACGGCAGCGCGGACUUCGGUCUGGCGGCGAGUGGCGAACGGGUGAGUAAUGUAUCGGAACGUGCCCAGUAGCGGGGGAUAACUACGCGAAAGCGUAGCUAAUACCGCAUACGCCCUACGGGGGAAAGCAGGGGAUCGUAAGACCUUGCACUAUUGGAGCGGCCGAUAUCGGAUUAGCUAGUUGGUGAGGUAACGGCUCACCAAGGCGACGAUCCGUAGCUGGUUUGAGAGGACGACCAGCCACACUGGGACUGAGACACGGCCCAGACUCCUACGGGAGGCAGCAGUGGGGAAUUUUGGACAAUGGGGGCAACCCUGAUCCAGCCAUCCCGCGUGUGCGAUGAAGGCCUUCGGGUUGUAAAGCACUUUUGGCAGGAAAGAAACGUCGCGGGCUAAUACCCCGUGGAACUGACGGUACCUGCAGAAUAAGCACCGGCUAACUACGUG
rnacentral:rRNA from 1 species